rnacentral:rRNA from 1 species
CACACCGCCCGUCGCUACUACCGAUUGAAUGGCUCAGUGAGGCUUUCGGACUGGCCCAGGGAGGUCGGCAACGACCACCCAGGGCCGGAAAGUUAUCCAAACUCGGUCAUUUAGAGGAAGUAAAAGUCGUAACAAGGUCUCCGUUGGUGAACCAGCGGAGGGAUCAUUACAGAGUUAUCUAACUCCCAAACCCAUGUUAACUUACCACUGUUGCCUCGGCAGAGAGCUGCUGGGCAGACCUACCCGGGAGCGGCUACCCUGUAGCUGCCACCCUGGAAGGGCUACCCUGAAACAAUCUGCCGGUGGACUACUAAACUCUUGUUAUUUUAAAAGUAAUCUGAGCGUCUUAUUUUAAUAAGUUAAAACUUUCAACAACGGAUCUCUUGGUUCUGGCAUCGAUGAAGAACGCAGCGAAAUGCGAUAAGUAAUGUGAAUUGCAGAAUUCAGUGAAUCAUCGAAUCUUUGAACGCACAUUGCGCCCAUUAGUAUUCUAGUGGGCAUGCCUGUUCGAGCGUCAUUUCAACCCUUAAGCUUAGCUUAGUAUUGGGAGCUGGCUGUACUGCCACUCCUCAAAUUCAACGGCGGAUUUAUAGCAAUCUCUGAACGUAGUAAUUUUUAUCUCGUUUUUGAAAUACUGUAAACCUCAGCCGCUAAACCCCCAAUUUUUAAUGGUUGACCUCGGAUCAGGUAGGAAUACCCGCUGAACUUAAGCAUAUCAAUAAGCGGAGGAAAAGAAACCAACAGGGAUUGCCUUAGUAACGGCGAGUGAAGCGGCAAUAGCUCAAAUUUGAAAUCUGGCACUUGUGUCCGAGUUGUAAUUUGCAGAAGAUGAUUUUGGUUAGGUACCUUCCGAGUUCCUUGGAACAGGACGCCUUAGAGGGUGAGAGCCCCGUACGGUUGGAUGCCGAGCCUUUGUAAAUCUCUUUCGACGAGUCGAGUAGUUUGGGAAUGCUGCUCUAAAUGGGAGGUAAAUUUCUUCUAAAGCUAAAUACUGGCCAGAGACCGAUAGCGCACAAGUAGAGUGAUCGAAAGAUGAAAAGCACUUUGAAAAGAGGGUUAAAUAGCACGUGAAAUUGUUGAAAGGGAAGGAUUUAUGACCAGACUUUUUCUAGGAGGAUCAUCCGGUGUUCUCACCGGUGCACUUCUUCUAGUCUAGGCCAGCAUCGACUUUCGGCGGCGGAUAAAAGCUUCAGGAAUGUGACUCCCUACGGGGAGUGUUAUAGCCUGUUGUAUAAUACGCUGCUGGGGGUCGAGGUACGCGCUUCUGCAAGGAUGCUGGCGUAAUGGUUAUCAAUCACCCGUCUUGAAACACGGACCAAGGAGUCGAACAUUUGUGCAAGUGUUUGGGUGUUAAACCCUCACGCGUAAUGAAAGUGAACGGAGGUGAGAGCCCUUACGGGUGCAUCAUCGACCGAUCCUGAUGUUUUCGGAUGGAUUUGAGUAAGAGCAUAACUGUUCGGACCCGAAAGAUGGUGAACUAUGCGUGGAUAGGGUGAAGCCAGAGGAAACUCUGGUGGAGGCUCGCAGCGGUUCUGACGUGCAAAUCGAUCGUCAAAUCUGCGCAUGGGGGCGAAAGACUAAUCGAACCAUC